GAUAAACGCUGGCGGCGUGCCUAAUGCAUGCAAGUCGAACGGAGUGGCAAACGGGUGAGUAACACGUGGGAAUCUACCCUUUAGUGGGGAAUAACUACUCGAAAGAGUAGCUAAUACCGCAUACUAAAGGAUGAGCCUGCGGCUGAUUAGCUAGUUGGUGGGGUAAAGGCUUACCAAGGCGUUGAUCAGUAGCUGGUCUGAGAGGAUGGUCAGCCACACUGGGACUGCGACACGGCCCAGACUCCUACGGGAGGCAGCAGCAAGGAAUUUUCGGCAAUGGGGGCAACCCUGACCGAGCAACGCCGCGUGAGGGAUGAAGUAUUUCGGUAUGUAAACCUCUUUUUAGUGGGAAGCGGUACCACUAGAAUAAGCAUCGGCUAACUACGUGCCAGCAGCCGCGGUAAUACGUAGGAUGCAAGCGUUGUCCGGAAUUAUUGGGCGUAAAGGGCGCGCAGGCGGUAUAGCAAGUCAGAGGUGAAAUUUCCCGGCUUAACCGGGAAUGGUCGUCUGAAACUGCUAAACUAGAGUGCAGGAGAGGAAAGCGGAAUUCCCGGUGUAGUGGUGAAAUGCGUAGAUAUCGGGAGGAACACCAGAGGCGAAAGCGGCUUUCUGGCCUGCAACUGACGCUGAGGCGCGAAGGCUAGGGUAGCAAACAGGAUUAGAUACCCUGGUAGUCCUAGCAGUAAACGAUGAACACUAGGUGUGCGUGCCGUAGCAAACGCAAUAAGUGUUCCGCCUGGGGAGUACGGUCGCAAGAUUAAAACUCAAAGGAAUUGACGGGGGCCCGCACAAGCAGCGGAGCGUGUGGUUUAAUUCGACGCAACGCGAAGAACCUUACCAGGGCUUGACAUGCAGAUGCUGCAUGGCUGUCGUCGGCUCGUGUCGUGAGAUGUUGGGUUAAGUCCCGCAACGAGCGCAACCCCUGUUGCCAGUUAAUCUGGCGAGACUCGGUAAAACCGGAGGAAGGUGGGGAUGACGUCAAGUCAGCAUGGCUCUUACGUCCUGGGCUACACACACGCUACAAUGGCUGGUACAAAGGGAAGCAAGACUGCGAAGUGGAGCGGAUCUCAAAAAGCCGUCUCAGUUCGGAUUGUAGGCUGCAACUCGCCUGCAUGAAGUCGGAGUUGCUAGUAAUCGCGCAUCAGACGGUGCGAUGAAUAUGUUCCCGGGCCUUGCACACACCGCCC
rnacentral:rRNA from 1 species